rnacentral:rRNA from 1 species
UACGUAGGGGGCAAGCGUUGUCCGGAAUCACUGGGCGUAAAGGGCGCGUAGGCGGCUCGUGAAGUCAGUGGUGAAAGCCCAGGGCUCAACUCUGGGUCGGCCACUGAUACUCGCGAGCUCGAGUUUGGUAGAGGCAGAUGGAAUUCCGGGUGUAGCGGUGGAAUGCGUAGAGAUCCGGAGGAACACCAGUGGCGAAGGCGGCGUCCUGGCCGGCGACUGACGCUGUGGCGCGAAAGCUAGGGGAGCGAACGGG